GUACCGUGAGGGAAAGGUGAAAAGUACCCCGGUGAGGGGAGUGAAAUAGUACCUGAAACCGCGCGUCUACAAGCAGUCGAAGCACUAUGCCCUUCGGGGAAUGUGCGACGGCGUACCUUUUGCAUCAUGGGCCUGCGAGUUAUCCUAUGUCGCAAGGUUAAGCCGAUAGGUGAAGCCGAAGCGAAAGCGAGUUCAAAUAGAGCGUUGAGUGGCAUGGGGUAGACCCGAAACCUAGCGAUCUAUCCAUGAGCAGGUUGAAGCGCGGGUAAAACCGCGUGGAGGACCGAACUCACCGGUGUUGAAAAACUGGGGGAUGAACUGUGGGUAGGGGUGAAAGGCUAAUCAAACUCGGAGAUAGCUCGUACUCCCCGAAAU
rnacentral:rRNA from 1 species